rnacentral:rRNA from 1 species
CCGUGCAAAGGUAGCAUAAUCAUUUGUUCCUUAAAUAGGGACUUGUAUGAACGGUUAGAUGAGGGCAAAACUGUCUCCUACAGUUAAUCAAUGAACUUGAUCAUACAGUACAAACGCUGUAAUUUAUUUAUAAGACGAGAAGACCCUGUGGAGCUUUAAACUUCUACAUUAAAUUAAUUAUAACAUAAUGUAGAGUUUUAAGUUGGGGCGACUAUGGAGUAAAAAAGAACCUCCAUGAAUACACGACUUAACCUCGUCACAAAAGGCUAACAGGCCUAACCAAAAAGUUUGACCCAAUCAUAUUGUAUACCGAACCAAGUUACCCCAGGGAUAACAGCGCCAUCCCCUUAAAGAGUUCACAUCGCCAAG